UAAUAUAUAUAUUUUUGUAUAUAUAUAUAUUUUUUUUCGUAUGUAUUUAUAUUUUACAUAUAUAUUAUCGGAAUGGGUACAAUUUAAACCCGUUAACGAGGAUCUAUGAGAGGGCAAGUCUGGUGCCAGCAGCCGCGGUAAUUCCAGCUCUCAAAGUGUAUAUCGUCAUUGCUGCGGUUAAAAAGCUCGUAGUUGGAUCUGCGUCUCAGGACCUGGUCCAUCCAUUGGAUGAGAA
rnacentral:ncRNA from 1 species